GACGAACGCUGGCGGCGUGCUUAACACAUGCAAGUCGAACGAAGAGCGAUGGAAGCUUGCUUCUAUCAAUCUUAGUGGCGAACGGGUGAGUAACGCGUAAUCAACCUGCCCUUCAGAGGGGGACAACAGUUGGAAACGACUGCUAAUACCGCAUACGAUCUAACCUCGGCAUCGAGGAUGGAUGAAAGGUGGCCUCUAUUUAUAAGCUAUCACUGAAGGAGGGGAUUGCGUCUGAUUAGCUAGUUGGAGGGGUAACGGCCCACCAAGGCGAUGAUCAGUAGCCGGUCUGAGAGGAUGAACGGCCACAUUGGGACUGAGACACGGCCCAGACUCCUACGGGAGGCAGCAGUGGGGAAUCUUCCGCAAUAGACGAAAGUCUGACGGAGCAACGCCGCGUGAGUGAUGACGGCCUUCGGGUUGUAAAGCUCUGUUAAUCGGGACGAAAGGCCUUCUUGCGAAUAGUUAGAAGGAUUGACGGUACCGGAAUAGAAAGCCACGGCUAACUACGUG
rnacentral:rRNA from 1 species